rnacentral:rRNA from 1 species
CCUACGGGAGGCUGCAGUGAGGAAUAUUGGUCAAUGGACGAGAGUCUGAACCAGCCAAGUAGCGUGAAGGAUGACUGCCCUAUGGGUUGUAAACUUCUUUUAUAAAGGAAUAAAACGAGGCACGUGUGCCUUUUUGCAUGUACUUUAUGAAUAAGGAUCGGCUAACUCCGUGCCAGCAGCCGCGGUAAUACGGAGGAUCCGAGCGUUAUCCGGAUUUAUUGGGUUUAAAGGGAGCGUAGAUGGGUUGUUAAGUCAGUUGUGAAAGUUUGCGGCUCAACCGUAAAAUUGCAAUUGAUACUGGCAGUCUUGAGUACAGUUGAGGUAAGCGGAAUUCGUGGUGUAGCGGUGAAAUGCUUAGAUAUCACGAAGAACACCGAUUGCGAAGGCAGCUUACUAGACUGUAACUGACGUUGAUGCUCGAAAGUGUGGGGAUCAAACAGGAUUAGAUACCCUUGUAGUC